rfam:Triticum aestivum genome assembly, contig: Triticum_aestivum_CS42_TGACv1_scaffold_499930_6BL
AAAAAGGGUCGGUUGGCUAUGUAUGCCACGUCCAUCCUUAGCUGAUGGGUGCUGUAUGGCUAUCAAGACAUAUGGCCGACAUAAUUUGUGGGAAUCAAUAGGGUUGGCCCGUCAUGGCCGACCCUCCA